rnacentral:tRNA from 2 species
GCGGGUGUAGCUCAGGGGUAGAGCACAACCUUGCCAAGGUUGGGGUCGAGGGUUCGAAUCCCUUCGCCCGCUCC